CUUGGAGGAUGUAUAGCGAUAGCUAAUUGCAUCGAAAAUAUGAUGCAAGAUCGAUUUAUUGAAUAAAAUUCUGGGUAGAAUUAUGAUUAUGACAUUGUCUACCUAUGUGUCUUGACCAAAUUACGUGCCAGCAGUCGCGGUAAUACGUAGAAGACUAGUGUUAUUCAUCUUUAAUAGGUUUAAAGGGUACCUAGACGGUAAAUCAAGCCCUAGACGGGACUAAUUUGCUAGAGUUACUUGUGAGGGGGUUUUAAAGUACUAAUGGUGUAGAGAUGAAAUUUUGUAAUACCAUUUUUCGAAAGAAAAGUAAUGGCACAGGUAUAGGCGAAAGCAUCCCCUUAUGUGAUAACUGACGUUGAAGGACGAAGGCUUUGAGUCGCGAACAGGAUUAGAUACCCUGGUAGUCAAAGCAGAAAAUAAUGAGUGUCAUAGAUUAGAUAUUAAAGUUUAUUCUAUAAAUGAAAGUGUAAGCACUCCACCUCAAGAGUAAUUUGGCAACAUUGGAACUGAAAUCAUUAGACCGUUUCUGAAACCAGUAGUGAAGUAUGUUGUUUAAUUUGAUAAUCCGCAAAAAACCUUACCACAAUUUGAAUAUUUAUAUCGUUGAUAUAAUUACAAGCGUUGCACGGCUGUCUUCAGUUAAUGUCGUGAGAUUUUGGUUAGAUCCAUUAAAUUAACGCAAGCCCUUACUUUAUUUUAAAAUAAAGUCGUUCCCCACUAGAUUGGAUAAGAUAACAGGGAUUAAGACAAGUCAUCAUGGCCUGAAUAUUGUGGGCUAUAG
rnacentral:rRNA from 1 species